ensembl:lncRNA
ACGUAAUAGGCAGGAGUUAAAUGUUAGAACUUUAAGUCUCUUGAGUUAGCAGAAUGAUUAAAUGAGCAUUAAAAGGAAAUAGUUUCUCACUUGGGAUUCAACUUUAUUUAAAUAAAACCUAAAUCAUACAGUAGCUAAAAUUCCACAAACAGGUUGAUUAAAUCAGAACAACCCUCCAUCCAGUAUCCUGUGACCCAUGGGCCAAGGAUAAUUUAGGAUGUGGGUAGAAGCCGAGGGAACAAAUGACAUGUCUGUCUCCUUCAGUGCUUCCUCACUCUUGUCCAAAAACUCCUUCAAUGCACUCCAGAAGAAAACAAUAACUAGAAACUCAGAUGAAACUUUCUCUUCUAAGAAUUCACAGGUAAUUAGGAAAAAGAGAGUUCUAUUGUGCCAUCACAAUAAAUGGCACAAAAGAUUAAAACUCUCAGCAUUUCCCUGAUGGCUGGUGGCCUCUUGAAUUUUCUUGAGUUAUAGGACAACCAGGUUUUAUAGCCUCGAGUAGCUUCCCCUAAGGGGCUUCCCUGGUGGUUCAGAUGGUAAAGGGUUUGUCUACAAUGCAGAGAGACCCAGGUUCAAUCCCUGGGUAGGAAAGAUCCCCUGGAGUAGGAAAUGACAACGCACUCCAGUAUUCAUGCCUGGAGAAUCCAUGGACAGAGGAACCUGGUGGGCUACAGUCCAUGGGGCCACAAAGAGUCGGACACGACUAACACACACACACACACAGAGCUUUCCCUAAAGUUUAAUACUUAACCACCCAAAUCAGGAUCACCUGGACAGUUUGUGAAAUAUGCAAAUUCCUUGAAUUAGACUCUUCCAGGUAUGGACUGGGAAUGUCCAUUUUUAUCAGAUCCAUUGAGGGUUCUGAGUGCAAUUGAAGGUUGAGAAGUUCCACUUUAAACUAGAUUUGAGGGACUUCCCUGGUAGUCUAGCAGCUAAGACUCCGAAAUCCCAAUGCAGGGGUCUGGGUCCAACCCCUGGUCAGGGAAUGAGGUCCCACGUGCCACAACUAAGAUGGAAGAUCCCAGGUGGCACAAUUAAAGACCUGGUAUAGCCAAAGAAAUAUUAAAAAAAAAAAAACUAGAUUUGCUCAGGAAACAGGAAUUUUGUGGAAAAGCCUAAGUCCAGCCCACCUUGAGGAUAUUGUGAAGAUUCAUAAGUUGGUUCACUGGUUACCAAGAAGAGUCAAGGUAUCUGGGCAGACAGGAAAGUGACCACACACACAUGUAAACCCUUCCCCCACAAGGUCCCAUCUCCGCUCCUGGAAUAGACUGCACAGGUCAGCCAAUCAGCACACAAUUUACCUUGAGUAACUGGUAUUGGUUCAGGACUGGACAUCCAGCUCCAGUAGAUGAAAGGGAAUAACCUGUAGUCCAUACCUGGGGGAGAGUUUCAAGAUUCUUUCGUUCUCUCUUUCCAGAUGGGACAACGACCCACAUAGACUCACCUGCUAUUGGAAGCUUUGUUGUAACCAAGAGGAGGAGGUUCAGAGUGAGGGAGAAGGAGGAGGAGGAGGAGGAAUCAUGCAGAGCAGAAAGACAGAAAGCACUCAUAUUCCUGGUUAUAUCAUGGAUCUCACUGGACCUGGGGCAUACCCUUCCUCUGACUUUCCAGGCAUGAAAGAUAUCUGAAGCUGUAAUGCACAGUAACUGAACUGGAACCUCUGAGUCUUGAAUUUGGGUGACGUGGUUGAAAGAAUCUGCUGGUCCUCCUGGAAACUCAUAACAUCUAUUACUGAACUGAACGAGUCUGCAUAUAAGGGACAUCAUGCAAUAUUUCAAGUUCUGGGAGAUGGUGAAGGACAGGGAAGCCUGAUGUGCUGCAGUCCAUGGGGUCGCAAAGAGCUGGACGUGACUGAGCGACUGAAGAACAACAAGAUGCAGGAUUUCUCCUUCUCUGUUGAACUCAGAGAUCUUGUCUAUCAUACUACCUGUCUUUUCAAACUCUAGAAGAGUGCCUGGCAUUUAAAGACAUUCAAUAAGUAUAGAGGAAUGACUCUAUAAUUAAAUGAGUUUCAAGUCACAUUUCUCCCCUAAAACACAUCAAGUUAAUCUGUCAAGCCCAACUCUUAUUAUUCCCUUCAGUGAUAUCAGCACCCCCAAGGGAUGCUAUUUCUUCUCAAACAAGCAUGUGUCAUAUGUGGUAAAAACAUAUAGCUCUCAGUUCAAAAGAAAUCCUAGUAAGUAAAAUGGUUACUGGGACAGCAAAGGUGUUCUGAUUAAGACAAGGGUUGGGGGUCUGGAACUCCAUCCAUGUCCCCUCCUCCCCAAUUCUACCCUAAGACACCUCUGGAGCCCCACCUGGGACAAACUGUGCAAUUUUGAUUGGAAAGAAACUUCAUUUUUGUCAAUGCUGGUAGGUAUACUGUGGACUGAUAAGGAGUUUCUAUGGCCAAGUUUAGGAAAUACAUAAUUUUUUUUUCAAAUUGAAAAAUACAGUGUUAUUGAUAAUUGGAUUACCUAUCAAUUGACAUAAACAGUAUGAACUUAAAAUUCAGGCUUAUAUAUAUGCCCAUGGCGUCAUCAACACAAUCAAGAUAAAAAGUAUAUUCAUCACCUCUAAGAGUUUCUUCUUGCUCCUUUGUAAUUCAUUCCUCUCCC